rnacentral:rRNA from 1 species
GUACACUCCUGCGGGAGGCAGCAGUGGGGAAUUUUGGACAAUGGGCGAAAGCCUGAUCCAGCCAUGCCGCGUGCAGGAUGAAGGCCUUCGGGUUGUAAACUGCUUUUGUACGGAACGAAACGGCCUUUUCUAAUAAAGAGGGCUAAUGACGGUACCGUAAGAAUAAGCACCGGCUAAAUACGUGCCAGCAGCCGCGGUAAUACGUAGGGUGCAAGCGUUAAUCGGAAUUCCUGGGCGUAAAGCGUGCGCAGGCGGUUAUGUAAGACAGUUGUGAAAUCCCCGGGCUCAACCUGGGAACUGCAUCUGUGACUGCAUAGCUAGAGUACGGUAGAGGGGGAUGGAAUUCCGCGUGUAGCAGUGAAAUGCGUAGAUAUGCGGAGGAACACCGAUGGCGAAGGCAAUCCCCUGGACCUGUACUGACGCUCAUGCACGAAAGCGUGGGGAGCAAACAGGAUUAGAUACCCGAGUAGUCCCAU